AUUGAACGCUGGCGGCAGGCUUAACACAUGCAAGUCGAGCGGAGAAGAGGUGCUUGCACCUUAUCUUAGCGGCGGACGGGUGAGUAAUGCUUAGGAAUCUGCCUAUUAGUGGGGGACAACAUUCCGAAAGGAAUGCUAAUACCGCAUACGCCCUACGGGGGAAAGCAGGGGAUCUUCGGACCUUGCGCUAAUAGAUGAGCCUAAGUCGGAUAAGCAAGUUGGUGGGGUAAUGGCCUACAAAGGCGACGAUCUGUGGCGGGUCUGAGAGGAUGAUCCGCCACACUGGGACUGAGAAACGGCCCAGACUCCUACAGGAGACAGCAGUGGGGAAUAUUGGACAAUGGGCGGAAGACUGAUCCAGCAAGGCCGAGUGUGUGAAGAAGGCCUUUUGGUUGUAAAGCACUUUAAGCGAGGAGGAGGCUACCUGGAUUAAUACUCUAGGAUAGUGGACGUUACUCGCAGAAGAAGCACCGGCUAACUCUGUGCCAGCCGCCGCCGUAAGAC
rnacentral:rRNA from 1 species